rnacentral:rRNA from 1 species
UGCAAGUCGAGCGAGCUGAAUUCAAAGAUUCCUUCGGGGUGAUUUGUUGGACGCUAGCGGCGGAUGGGUGAGUAACACGUGGGCAAUCUGCCCUAAAGACUGGGAUACCACUUGGAAACAGGUGCUAAUACCGGAUAACAACAUGAAUCGCAUGAUUCAAGUUUGAAAGGCGGCGCAAGCUGUCACUUUAGGAUGAGCCCGCGGCGCAUUAGCUAGUUGGUGGGGUAAAGGCCUACCAAGGCAAUGAUGCGUAGCCGAGUUGAGAGACUGAUCGGCCACAUUGGGACUGAGACACGGCCCAAACUCCUACGGGAGGCAGCAGUAGGGAAUCUUCCACAAUGGACGCAAGUCUGAUGGAGCAACGCCGCGUGAGUGAAGAAGGUUUUCGGAUCGUAAAGCUCUGUUGUUGGUGAAGAAGGAUAGAGGCAGUAACUGGUCUUUAUUUGACGGUAAUCAACCAGAAAGUCACGGCUAACUACGUGCCAGCAGCCGCGGUAAUACGUAGGUGGCAAGCGUUGUCCGGAUUUAUUGGGCGUAAAGCGAGCGCAGGCGGAAUGAUAAGUCUGAUGUGAAAGCCCACGGCUCAACCGUGGAACUGCAUCGGAAACUGUCAUUCUUGAGUG